rnacentral:lncRNA from 1 species
CCUAAAUCUAUAAAUGUUUACAAGACUUAUGUUUUGAUCAACAUAACGCGUUUUGAGGAGGAGUAAAUGCAUUUAUUUUUUUUUAAAUUAGCAACUUAUUUCACUUUUUAGUGACACAAGAAUACCAGUCUGGUAUUUUAUUUUGAGGCGUAGCCAAAAGCAAAUUGGACUCUCUUUUUCUGGUGAAAAUCUGAAACGAGUGUAGCAUUAAUGCAGAUGACCCCUGAAUGAAUUUGAUCUCAUUAGUGUUUGAAUCAACUCAGCUGGAAAACAAUAUAAGUAGGACCUGACUGCAAAACAGGUGCUGCAGCUCAAGUGAAAUAGUCUCAAUAAAAAAAUGAUGGCCAAAAGCUAUAGGCAAUUGUAUAACGUUACUGUAAAACAGCAGAAGGAAAAAAUGGAUUUGCUAUACUUCUUAUUGGAAAACCAAACUGAAGUUCAAGGAGGUACAUUGCUGUGGUUCCAUUACGUGUUUACAGAGAGAAGAUCCAUGACAGAUAAACUGAGCAAAGAAAAUAUAAGUUGA